UUACAAUUAGAAACUAUCUUCUAAACGUCUAAGCCUCUAAUAGCAAACAAUUAGAAACAAUCCAUUCUUUUUUUGUUUGGCACAUUUGAAACUUCCAAAAAGCAACAAAUGAAAAUAUUACAAAACCAUAGUUGUAAAAAAUCCAUAGGUUCUGCUGCAUCUAAACCCAAAACCUAAGACUCUGGAGACUAUCAGAAUUUCAGGCUGCAUCAUUUCUAUUAACCGUGGUAUCAAAUGAUGCAGGGAAAAAAACCAAUAUUUUGUUUGAUUAGCAUAGUCAAACACCGCCUGAACAGAAAAUUAACCAAUCUAGAAAAAUCAAGAUUUACCAAAAUCCAAAAACAAGCUAUAAACCAGGCAAAUAAGACUUUAAUUGAAUAAGGAAAAAUCUAAAUACCCAUCCAUUCUAAUUCGAUUCAACCGAUACAUCAAAUAAAACCCAUCAAUGAAACAAAAUAAUUCAAUCCAAAACAGGUUGGAAAAGAGCAGGUACCAAGGGAGGAGAUUUGCUUGAGUGUUGAGAGAAAGCUGAUGGUGGUUUUUUAUAUCAUAACGCUUCAAAGGAAAUUAAAGAGAUUAUAAUUAGAUUUUGACAAUUAAUUUGUUGUAAUAUGUAUGUAAUUAAUGUAAAUUUGAGCACCUAAUUACAAGAUUAAAAAAAAAAUCACUAUGAUAAAAAACAGUAAUCAAAGUUAGAAUAAAGCUAAUUAUAUAAAAUUAGCUAUUUUACAUGUCACUAUUUUCCAGUAUUCACAUUUCCAAUAAUUUUAUAAAUAAUUUACUAUUUUAAACUUGAAAAUAUGCUUGCUACUUACUACCAGCACGUUUCUUUCUAGUGGACAUCUAAGAUUAACUCAUCGAUUUUUUCUAUUACUGCAACUAAUCGCUAACAUAUUUGACAGAAUCAAAGAGGUAAAUUUAAUAUACAGAGAUUACAAACUCCUCUCAAUUACUCAGAUAUGCAGCUACUCGUACAUCCCCAUCCAGAGCUUAGGAAACACUAGAGGGAUGGGUAUAUGAAUAAUAUUAAGUAAUUAAUCAUGCCACUAGAAAGAUGAAUACAGUAGAAGCACGGUACAAUGUGGAUGGAACAGAUCAAGCAAAAUGGAAGAACCAACUCUGUUUAGAUGUAAAGAUAAACUGACCUAAGAUAAGUAGAGAACGAACCCAAGCAACGCCGGCGGGUAAACGAGAACAAACCCAAGAAUCGCCGGUGAACCACACGUUUGAAUGUCUUCGGCGCUGUACUGAGAACGAAGCUGAAUUUGCUAUAAAGUGCUCAUCUGCUGUGAAGAUAGGCUAUUUGUUGCUGUUUAGGAAUGAGGGAAGGCAGUGUACGCCUAGGGUUAGAAUGAAAGAGUUUGGGAAUUGAACUGUAGAGUAGGAAUAAUGGCUAAUUAUUGGAUGCUCUGCUGCACUUCAC
rnacentral:misc_RNA from 1 species